CUACCUGUUAUGCACUGUAAUACUUUAUGGGUAUUCAUGCUGUGCCCCCUACACCCCCCAAUAGCACAAAGACAUGGCAACAUGUCAAUAUUUUCUUCAGCCGUACUCAAUUUUAUGUCUACAUGUUCGCAUUUGAAAGAAUAUUUGAGAUGUAUUCUCACACAUGUACAAACGUAUCAUAUAUCAUCAUUAAUUCUUUGCAAUACUCAAUUUUCAUCUACUUUUGGCAUAUCAUUAGUGUGACUUUUGUGUUGUAUGAAAGUGGUAUUAGAAGUCUGAUAUGUGCAAUUGGGUCACUGAUUUCAAAAUGCAGCAAUACUAGUGUUUUGUUCAAGUCAUAGACAACAUAAGUCGAUGCAAGGGAAACACAUUGAUGCCAAGACCACCAUCCACUUUAUAGUCAUAUAUGUUCAAUAUUUAGUGAGACAAUGAACAAACCCAUACUCAGUUCCAAUUCAGUUAUUUGGUUUACUGAGAAAGUUGCACAUUAAAUGUGAACGGGGCCAAUGGCCACAAAGAGACUGGUUUCAGACCAAUUGGUGGUGAUCUGAACCUAAUGUGAUACUAUAAUUAAAUCCUUACUGAGGGGGAGAUCACGGAGGUGGUAUUACUACUGGAUGUUCUGAGGGUUUUUCGCCUAAUUAACACAAGAGUAGACAAAAGAAUUUGGGAGCUGGAAGAUCAUGUCUGGAAGGCAAUGACUCCCCCGAAAGUCAAAUUCCUUAUGUGGUUGAUCUCGAACGGGAAAGUUAACACUUGUGACCGUAUCCAAAGGAGGAACCCGUUGAUGUGCCUAUCUCCUCACUGGUGUGUGCUGUGCAAGUCUUGUGCAGAGACCAUUGACCAUUUAUUUAUUCACUGCCCAUACUCACUAAGUCUCUGGUGGAAACUGUUAAGUGAAGUUGGAGCAAUCUGGGUAAUCCCUAAAGGCUGUUUUCAGCUUCUUAGCAUUAAAAUGACGGUGUUGGGAAAGGGGAAGAGAGCCCGAAUUUUAUGGGACUGUCUUGUUCAUGCUUUGUUCUGGAAUUUAUGGGGGGAACGCAACGGCAGAAUUUUCCAAGAGUAUGUAGGAGUGUCUUAUGAAGAACUUUGGAUUAGAGUAAAAUUUUGGGCUUCUCUUUGGGCUUCUGUUACCGAUCAGUUCAAGGAUUACCACUAUCCUAUUAUAUUGAGAGAUAUGAGAGCUGUGUUAAGAUAAGCCUACUAAGUCGUUUUUUCCUUGCCUUUCUUAGAGAGGUGUAGAUUCAGAGUCUUAUUUUGGUUCUUGGUUCCUGUUUUUCAAGCAGAGUUUUCUAUUGUUGCUUAGUCGAGGACUACUUGUCCUCUUGAUUAUCAAUACAAUCGUUUCUAUUCAAAAUAAAAAAUAAAAAAUUAAAUCCUUACUAUCAGCAAUUUGAUAUCAGAAUAGUUUAUGUGACUCGAUUCACUAAUACAAUUCAUAUAAUAAUAAUAAUUGAACUAUGAAAUUAUCUGGUUUGACAUUAUCUCUAAAGGUCUGUUCCUCUUCUUCAAGUCAUAGUUUAGAUUAUGAAGACUGAAUGCUGCUGUAGAAAACAGGCCAAUAAUAAUAAAUAGUUCAUUUUACAAGUGGGAGUUUGUGGACCUGUGGUUACUUUAUGCUGAGCAUUAAUUUUAAAUAGUAGCGCAGGAUUUUGUUCACUAGUAAUGUGUUUUUUUUUUUUUGAAUAGAAACGAUUGUAUUGAUAAUCAAGAGGACAAGUAGUCCUCGACUAAGCAACAAUAGAAAACUCUGCUUGAAAAACAGGAACCAAGAACCAAAAUAAGACUCUGAAUCUACACCUCUCUAAGAAAGGCAAGGAAAAAACGACUUAGUAGGCUUAUCUUAACACAGCUCUCAUAUCUCUCAAUAUAAUAGGAUAGUGGUAAUCCUUGAACUGAUCGGUAACAGAUGCCCAAAGAGAAGCCCAAAAUUUUACUCUAAUCCAAAGUUCUUCAUAAGACACUCCUACAUACUCCUGGAAAAUUCUGCCGUUGAUUAUUUGAAAUUUGUAGCAGGCAUAUUAUAGAUCUGUUAGCAUAUUUGUCCAUUAAUUUAUCUUUAAAU